UGCGUAGGCGGUUUAUUAAGUCUAUGGUGAAAGUGCGGGGCUCAACCCCGUAUGGCCGUAGAAACUGGUAGACUUGAGUGCAGGAGAGGGCAAUGGAAUUCCAUGUGUAGCGGUAAAAUGCGUAGAUAUAUGGAGGAACACCAGUGGCGAAGGCGGUUGCCUGGCCUGUAACUGACGCUGAAGCACGAAAGCGUGGGGAGCAAAUA
rnacentral:rRNA from 1 species